UACGUAGGGCGCAAGCGUUGUCCGGAAUUAUUGGGCGUAAAGAGCUCGUAGGCGGCUUGUCACGUCGGAUGUGAAAGCCCGAGGCUUAACCUCGGGUCUGCAUUCGAUACGGGCUAGCUAGAGUGUGGUAGGGGAGAUCGGAAUUCCUGGUGUAGCGGUGAAAUGCGCAGAUAUCAGGAGGAACACCGGUGGCGAAGGCAGAUCUCUGGGCCGUAACUGACGCUGAGGAGCGAAAGCAUGGGGAGCGAACAGG
rnacentral:rRNA from 1 species